CGAGCCCGCUCCGCGCGGAGCGCGGCUCCUCUCCCCCGGUCGAAACGGGGAAAGAAAAAAAAACCACCGCAAGUCGCUCCGCGCGCCUGCCGGCGAGAGAGAAGGGAGACGAGGGCGCGGAGCGCAGCUCCGGGGGGGGAGGCGCGUGUGGGGCGCGCGCUCCGGCGCGUCUCUCCCCCCCCGGCGCCGGUCCGCCCCUCGCGGCUCCUCCCGGGUGCAGCUGCCGCCCGGCGCCGGGUUGCCGAGGGAAACCCCGGGCCCCGGGAGGAACGCGAGGUGGUGGCGGCGGACGUCGGGCGCGCCCCCGCGGGCGGACGCUCCCCCGAGGGGCGCCGGGGCCGGCUGGCGGGUGCCGGGUCUCCCCUCGGCGCCCCGUCCCGCCCCGCCGAGCGGGGCGGGCGGGGGAGGCACCCCCGCGGGGCCUUCGGGUCGUUUCCCUCACCCCAGGGCCAGGUACCUAGCGUCCGCGCCUCCGCGCGUCCGGGGGCGGGGAGGAAGGAGCGCGGCGCCGGUCCCGAGCGGGCCGCGUCGCCCCCCCCCCCCCCCCCCCCCGGGGCGGGGGGGCCGGGCGGAGGUUUAAAGACUCGGGCGGCCCGCGGCGCGCGCCGCGAGGUCGGGGGCCGGGGGCGGUCUUCUGCCCGCCGGCGGGACGCCGGGAUGGAAGAGAGGAGUCCGGGC
rnacentral:lncRNA from 1 species